AUUGAACGCUGGCGGCAGGCCUAACGCAUGCAAGUCGAGCGGAUGAAGAGAGCUUGCUCUCUGAUUUAGCGGCGGACGGGUGAGUAAUGCCUAGGAAUCUGCCUGGUAGCGGGGGAUAACGUUCCGAAAGGAACGCUAAUACCGCAUAAGUCCUACGGGCGAAAGCAGGGGACUUUCGGGCCUUGCGCUAUCAGAUUAGCCUAGGUCGGAUUAGCUAGUUGGUGAGGUAAUGGCUCACCAAGGCGACGAUACGUAACUGGUCUGAGAGGAUGAUCAGUCACACUGGAACUGAGACACGGUCCAGACUCCUACGGGAGGCAGCAGUGGGGAAUAUUGGACAAUGGGCGAAAGCCUGAUCCAGCCAUGCCGCGUGUGUGAAGAAGGUCUUCGGAUUGUAAAGCACUUUAAGUUGGGAGGAAGGACAGUAAGUUAAUACCUUGCUGUUUUGACGUUACCGACAGAAUAAGCACCGGCUAACUUCGUGCCAGCCGCCGCAGUAAAAC
rnacentral:rRNA from 1 species